CAGAGCAUUCGGCUAUCCCAUUUUUGCCUUUUUCUCUUCACUUUUCCGUCAAGUUUCGUCAGGUCCUCACCGUCAGCUACUCCUCUUGUUCUUUUCAUUGAUUUCCUCUCUUCCCCUUCGAUUUCUUCUCUUUGUUGUCACUAUUUUGUAGCUGAAGUGUUGGGUUGUUGUAUUUUCUCUCUCGUGUUCGCUGUUCUUUGCCUCUUCUCUGUUUUGUGGCCGAAGGUGGAGGUGCGUGUGUGCUUUCAGCUUUCAUCUUUCCUUCAGCUGCUAGAAGUGCGUGUGUAUAUAUAGCUGUCCACUUGUUCAGAAGCCAUAAAGAGCUGCUUUUAAUUGGAAACUCUAAUACAUAUGAAGUCACAUUUGAUUGAAGGAUAAUUAAGUGUUGAAGGUAAUGUGACAAGGUUGUUGAUUGCAUUUAUAGCAUCAUGAGGUACAUGAAAGACAUUAUUGACCAUGUGCCAAUUAAUGAAAAUUUGCCUAACCAAGACUUUCAAGAUUUAUAUGUAGAGGAAUAUAGUUCAACUCAAAUUGAUAAAAUCUUUGAAGAAUUUGCCAAGAGUUUACUCAAGCAAUGGGUGCAAAAUAUAUGAUCACAACAAUACAUUUUACUAUAUCCUCAUCAAUUUUGUUUUAGUGUAUAGGUUCUUUACAGUUUUUCAAAAUAAGCAUUCUUUGGCCAAAAUUAAGUUUUUCAUAACUUUAGCCUUUUAAAGUUGCAAUAGGUUACACUUGUGGAAAAAUUUUCCUUGUAAUUGCUUUAGUGUUUAGGCAUUUUUUAAAAAGUUUGAAGUACUUUUAAAUAGAUUGUAAAAGUUAU